GACGACGCUGGCGGCGUGCCUAAUACAUGCAAGUAGGGCGAGUUGCGAACGGGUGAGUAACGCGUGGUAACCUGGCUAUUAGAGGGGGAUAACCACUGGAAACGGUAGCUAAUACCGCAUACCAUCGGAUUUGCCCAGAUGGGAAUAGCUAGUAGGAGGGGGAAAGGCUCACCUAGCCGACAGUGUCUAGCGGGUCUGAGAGGAUGACCAGCCACACGGGAACUGAGACACGGGCCAGACUCCUACGGGAGGCAGCAGGGGGGAAUAUUGCACAAUGGGCGCAAGCCUGAUGCAGCCAUGCCGCGUGUAUGAAGAAGGCCCUCGGGUUGUAAAGUACUUUCAGCGGGGAGGCGUUACCCGCAGAAGAAGCACCGGCUAACUCCGUGCCAGCAGCCGCGGUAAUUC
rnacentral:rRNA from 1 species